rnacentral:rRNA from 1 species
AACGAACGCUGGCGGCAUGCCUAACACAUGCAAGUCGAACGAGACCUUCGGGUCUAGUGGCGCACGGGUGCGUAACGCGUGGGAACCUGCCCUUAGGUUCGAAUAACUCCCCGAAAGGGGUUCUUAUACCGGGUAAUGUCUUCCGACCAAAGAUUUAUCGCCUUUGGAUGGGCCCGCGUUGGAUUAGCUAGUUGGUAGGGUAAAAGCCUACCAACGCGACGAUCCAUAGCUGGUCUGAGAGGAUGAUCAGCCACACUGGGACUGAGACACGGCCCAGACUCCUACGGGAGGCAGCAGUGGGGAAUAUUGGACAAUGGGCGAAAGCCUGAUCCAGCCAUGCCGCGUGAGUGAUGAAGGCCUUAGGGUUGUAAAGCUCUUUUACCCGGGAUGAUAAUGACAGUACCGGGAGAAUAAGCUCCGGCUAACUCCGUG